rnacentral:rRNA from 1 species
CCUACGGGUGGCAGCAGUGAGGAAUAUUGGUCAAUGGACGAGAGUCUGAACCAGCCAAGUAGCGUGAAGGAUGACUGCCCUAUGGGUUGUAAACUUCUUUUAUAUGGGAAUAAAAUGUUCCACGUGUGGGGUUUUGUAUGUACCAUAUGAAUAAGGACCGGCUAAUUCCGUGCCAGCAGCCGCGGUAAUACGGAGGGUCCGGGCGUUAUCCGGAUUUAUUGGGUUUAAAGGGAGCGUAGGUGGAUUGUUAAGGCAGUUAUGAAAGUUUGCGGCUCAACCGUAAAAGUGCAGUUGAAACUGGCAGUCUUGAGUACAGUAGAGGUGGGCGGAAUUCGUGGUGUAGCGGUGAAAUGCUUAGAUAUCACGAAGAACUCCGAUUGCGAAGGCAGCUCACUGGACUGCAACUGACACUGAGGCUCGAAAGUGUGGGUAUCGAACAGGAUUAGAUACCCUAGUAGUC